UUGCGGCCCCAUCACCGUGAAACACUGAUUCGCGUGCGAUCAGCAAAGUUAAGUAACGUCGAGCUUGGUCAGUACCUAGAUGGGUGACCGCUUGGGAAUACCUGGU